AACGCCGCGUGAGGGACGACGGCCUUCGGGUUGUAAACCUCUUUUAGCAGGGAAGAAGCGAAAGUGACGGUACCUGCAGAAAAAGCGCCGGCUAACUACGUGCCAGCAGCCGCGGUAAUACGUAGGGCGCAAGCGUUAUCCGGAAUUAUUGGGCGUAAAGAGCUCGUAGGCGGUCUGUCGCGUCUGCUGUGAAAACCCGAGGCUCAACCUCGGGCCUGCAGUGGGUACGGGCAGACUAGAGUGCGGUAGGGGAGAUUGGAAUUCCUGGUGUAGCGGUGGAAUGCGCAGAUAUCAGGAGGAACACCGAUGGCGAAGGCAGAUCUCUGGACCGUAACUGACGCUGAGGAGCGAAAGGGUGGGGAGCAAACAGGCUUAGAUACCCUGGUAGUCCACCCCGUAAACGUUGGGAACUAGUUGUGGGGACCAUUCCACGGUCUCCGUGACGUAGCUAACGCAUUAAGUUCCCCGCCUGGGGAGUACGGCCGCAAGGCUAAAACUCAAAGGAAUUGACGG
rnacentral:rRNA from 1 species